ACAGGGUUUCCCUGGUCGUGAUGGUAUGGAGGGCCAAGCAGGUUCACCUGGAAAGCCAGGUGAAGAUGGUGAAGCAGGAUACGCAGGACCACAGGGACCCCCAGGGUCAAAGG